AGUGAGCCUGUCUGUUCAGCCGCCCAUAAGGAGAAGUUGGAGGCCAUAGAGGACUUCCAGAGGAAGAAGCAGUACCUCAAUGACAGCCAAGCUUUUGAUACCCUGGUGCUGCAACUUUCAAGAAUUGGAGGGACUGUGUGCACAAAGUGUUUGACCACUGCAGUCAUGAAAUGCCACAGAGACGCCACAGAGGAAACUAAUAAAAGCAGAUCAUCUUAAGCAUGCACCAGCUAGAAAAGCAGGAGGUGGACACAGCUGAUUAUAAAUAACCUAUUUUUAAUUUAAGUUUAGAGUUCCAAAUGUCCAUUUUGCCCAGUUCACCUGCUCUCUGUGCGCAGCACUCAGCAGCUUCAGCUCUGUACU